rnacentral:lncRNA from 1 species
AAGGACUUCGUGUUCGGCUAACGGGCCACGGGCUGCAUGAACAUAUGUACCCACGGAUCCGCUGCCCACUGUCGGGUCUCCGCCCAUGGUGUACCUCAUCGGCGGCGUGCGAUGGCCGUGCCCCGAGCCACCUCCCCUGGCGGAGCAGCGGUGAGCGAUGCGAGCUCCUGGGAUGUGACUACUGACGAAGAAGAACAACGGCGUAAAGAGAGAGAAAGGAAGAAGAAAUGGAAACGAGAUGGUCCGUGCGAAAGAGAUAGGACUAGGAAGUGGGUCCCACCACGAGAAUGAGAAGAAAAGGUUGACGACAACUUAUCUGUGAGCCACGUAAGCAGUAAGCUAUAGCUAAUAAAAAAAAAUACGGUAACGCUAAGCUGAAGACGUCCAGACGCUUCAGGAAAUAUCAGACGUGGUCC